rnacentral:tRNA from 1 species
UAGCUCAGUGGGUGAAGAAUCUGCCUGCAAUGCAGGAGACCCAGGUUUGAUUCCUGG